CACAAAAGCAUUCGCAUCAUAAGGGGUAUUAAAGUACAGUUUGUAUAGAGUCGCUGCAAGGGGGUUUAUGCGCUUAAGUCCAUCAAGAUUUUUGCAAGAAGAACACAGGCUUCUCCUUUAAAAGAGAGCUCAUACAGAUUUAUGUCAUGUUGUUUGAUUUUACUGUCAUUUGAAGACACGCUACCGGCAGCAAAUGUAUUACUAUCUUUGUUUGUAUUGGUGCUAUUUUCCAUUUCGCUUUCUUGUUUGCAGCGCUCUCAGAUGCACGCUUUACUCCUGACGCCACUAUGGUGGCGUCAGCCAUCUUCGCUGGUGGUUUCACCAGCCUGCCAGGGACUU